rnacentral:lncRNA from 1 species
AAGCAUGUAGUUUGAGGUAGUGUUCCCUUAAUUUCCCGAGUGAGGAAAACUUCUCGGUUGGAGACUUGAAAAAUCCAAGUCACUGAGUGGUUGUGAGACUGCCGAGUAUCAAGGUGCAGUAGCAUAUGGUGGGAGUCCCCCAAGUCUUCAGGCGAAGAGAGUUGCCGAAUGAGGUGUCUAGCUAGUAGUCAAUGUCAUGAGUAGGAAAACUUCACUUGUUUCUUUUCGAAGUGGUAACCCAGGGCUCUUUCUUCAUAUAUUGUUUUUUUUGUUAUGAAGAUGUGUUAGGCCCAAAGAAGUGGAGGCCUAGGCCCUUUUUUUUUUUUUUUUUUUUUUUUUUUUUUCCCUCCCUUUUUCUUUGGAAUGUUUGUACAGAUAUCUAUAAUGUGGCCUUUGUCAUGAUUUUGGAGGAUGGGUGUAUUCGAAUCCAAUGAGGGGUAGGGUAUGACUCAUUAUCAUGUGCCAUGAUUUUGUCUUCCUUUAGCUUUUCUUUUGCUUUGCUUUACCAUUUUUGCUUUCCUUUAGUCUGCCUUUAGCUUUUCUUCAAUAUAACACCAUUUUCUGUGGCUCAGAUCGCAAAACCAUCUUCAUGAAAGUUGUU